rnacentral:rRNA from 1 species
GAUGAACGCUAGCGGCAGGCCUAACACAUGCAAGUCGAGGGGCAGCAUAGAUUGCUUGCAAUCUGAUGGCGACCGGCGCACGGGUGCGUAACGCGUAUACAAUCUACCCUAUACAGGGGGAUAGCCCGAAGAAAUUCGGAUUAAUACCCCAUAAUAUUUAGAGAUGGCAUCAUUUUUAUCUUAAAGAUUUAUCGGUAUAGGAUGAGUAUGCGUUAGAUUAGCUAGUUGGUAAGGUAACGGCUUACCAAGGCGACGAUCUAUAGGGGUUCUGAGAGGAUGAUCCCCCACACUGGUACUGAGACACGGACCAGACUCCUACGGGAGGCAGCAGUGAGGAAUAUUGGGCAAUGGAGGCAACUCUGACCCAGCCAUGCCGCGUGCAGGAAGACGGCCCUACGGGUUGUAAACUGCUUUUAUUUAGGAAGAAACCCCUUUACGUGUAGAGGGCUGACGGUACUAAACGAAUAAGCACCGGCUAACUCCG